GCAUCUCUACAGUGGGCGUGGCAUAAAGUGAAAAAGAAACUAUCCAGACCAUAGACUGCAUUAAGACUCCAGCCGUGUUUUGAGGGGUUAUAGCUGAAAUGUGAGCAUUUAUUUACACUCUUGUAGCUGCCAGUCAUCCAUUUGAAGAAAAUACACAGCAGGUGACUUUUACCUGGAAGGAAAAUGUCUUAUUAUCAGGACAGAGGCUAUACAGACAGGUACCAUGGGCUGGUAAACCAGGGAUCAACCUGUUACCUGAACAGUGUUCUGCAGGUGCUGUUCAUGACCAAAGACUUCAGAGAAGCACUGAAAAGAUGCCAAGUCUCUUGAUAGUCAUCUUAAUGAGCUCUUUGAGGACUUGAAGAAAAAGACGACUGACACCUAUAAAAUCACAGAGAAGCUGGGCAUCACAAGAGGUAGGAUACAAUAAAUGUUCCCUUCACGCUCCAGGAACAGAGUUGUUCCCUAAAAGUGGUUUAAGCUUUAAAACUAUUUCAGUAUAAAAAAAGAUUUCUAAUUCACACUCAAUGUUUACAGUUAAUAGAUUUGUCAUAUUUUCACAUCAGAUGAUGUUUAUUCCUCCAUAUA